rnacentral:pre_miRNA from 1 species
AAAGUACUCCCUCCGUCCCAAAAUUCUUGUCUUAGAUUUGUCUAGAUACGGAUGUAUCAAGUCACAUUUUAGUAUUAGAUACAUCCUUAUCUAGACAAAUCUAAGACAAGAAAUUUGGGACAGAGGGAGUAGUUG